AGAAUGCCCGCGUGGUCACAUCUUCGACAAGCCGUGAUGUUUGAGUGAGCUUAUUCAGCCUGGCAUGAACACCACGACCAGACACAUAGUCAAGUACCUCGCCGGUAAGGCCAAGGUGUACGAGAAUAAGUCACAAUGACGCUUCAGAGGCGUGCGUCCUGGUGUUCGAGCCACCUCAAGCAGGGGACCUGGAACAACGGUACAUUUGUGCUGAGAGGACAAGGCACCAAGAUUGUAGGUUUGGAAUACUUUCUGGAGUAUAGUGUAAAGAAAGAAUGAACUGAAUGGUACAGAACUGAACUGGAUGAAAUUAUUUUUUCGCCUGUGCCAAUGAUUCAACUAUGGAGUCUUGGUCUAUUAUUGGCCUCUUCUUGUACUGGAUGUUAAUGUACAAG